UACGAAGGGGGCGAGCGUUGUUCGGAAUUACUGGGCGUAAAGGGCGCGUAGGCGGCCCCUUUUGUCGCGUGUGAAAGCCCCGGGCUCAACCUGGGAAUGGCAUUGGAAACUGGCGGACUCGAGUGUGGCAGAGGGGGGUGGAAUUCCGCGUGUAGCAGUGAAAUGCGUAGAGAUGCGGAGGAACACCGAUGGCGAAGGCAGCCCCCUGGGCUAACACUGACGCUCAGGCACGAAAGCGUGGGGAGCAAACAGG
rnacentral:rRNA from 1 species